UACAGAGGUCUCAAGCGUUGUUCGGAUUCAUUGGGCGUAAAGGGUGCGCAGGCGGCGUCACGCGUGGCUAGAUGAAAUCUCCUGGCUUACCUGGGAGGGUGGUAGCCAGACGGUGGCGCUUGAGGGUCGGAGAGGGGCGUGGAAUUCCGGGUGGAGCGGUGAAAUGCGUAGAGAUCCGGAGGAACACCGACGGCGUAGGCAGCGCCCUGGACGACACCUGACGCUGAGGCACGAAAGCUGGGGGAGCGAACAGG
rnacentral:rRNA from 1 species